UAUUAGCCCCGAUUGCAGCGGCAUCCCCGUAACGAAGUGAAGGGAUACAGCGGAAAGCGGGUGAUUAC
rnacentral:sRNA from 1 species